UAGUCCACGCCGUAAACGAUGAGCACUAGUUUUUGGGGGUAUUGAUCCCUUCAGAUACGUAGCUAACGCAUUAAGUGCUCCGCCUGGGGAGUACGGUCGCAAGACUAAAACUCAAAGGAAUUGACGGGGGCCCGCACAAGCGGUGGAUUAUGUGGUUUAAUUCGAAGCAACGCGCAGAACCUUACCUGGGCUUGAACUCCUAAGAACAAGAGGUAAUGCUCUUGGUGCCCUUCGGGGAAUUUAGUGAGAGGCGCUGCAUGGCUGUCGUCAGCUCGUGUUGUGAAAUGUUGGGUUAAGUCUCGCAACGAGCGCAACCCCUAUUGUUAGUUGCCAGCAUUAAGUUGGGCACUCUAGCAAGACUGCCUGGGUCAACCAGGAGGAAGGUGGGGAUGACGUCAAGUCCUCAUGGCCCUUAUGUCCAGGGCUACACACGUAAUACAAUGGUGCACACAAAGGGAAGCGAACCAGCGAUGGGGAGCAAAUCUCAAAAAGUGUAUCUCAGUCCGGAUUGG
rnacentral:rRNA from 1 species